GGCCUGGCUGAUCUGUCCUCCUAAUCGAGCGCACGGAUUCGGUCGGGCCUUUCCUUCUGGGGAGCCCGAUGUCCUUCACUGGGCGUCGUGGGGAACCAGGACUUUUACCUUGAAAAAAUUAGAGUGUUCAAAGCAGGCCUUUGCUCGAAUACAUUAGCAUGGAAUAAUAGAAUAGGACAG
rnacentral:rRNA from 1 species